UUGAUUGCUUCACCUCUUUACAACUCUCACUUUCACUUAUCUUUUUUUUUAGGCACUGAAAACCUCUUUUAUGCUCUGAGAAGAACUGAACCUUCUAGUCUGACUGGAAUCUUGCCAAAGAGUUGUAUGUUCCUUCAAACUUCUCUUCCCAUUAUGUAUCGAAACAACUGAAUUGAGACUGAAAGGAGAAAUCAAACUGGUUAGAGGCUUGCAACUCAGACUGGAAGCAAGGCAGUCUUGGUGAAGAGCUGCUGGACGUGGAAUUUGCUGUGCUGAUCUAUAUUUUAUUGUCUGUCAAGACCAAGAUGUUAUGACAUGUCUCGCCUUCGCAGAGGAUUUGCUGCUGGCAUUGUGUUACUCCUCACCAGUUUAAAAUAAACAUCCUUACAUUCUUCAUAAGACUUUUCACGUCUUCUGAGUCUAUGGACAAAUGAACAGAAGCUAUCAAGAGACUUCAUGCCAGACUGUGAUGAAUAGGAAGGCUGGUUGGUGUACAUGCAGCUUGCUCAAAUAGACCCCAUGACCACUAGACUGGAGCACCUGAGGAGGGCUUAUUUGACA